rnacentral:tRNA from 1 species
AUCUGGCUGGCCCAGCUGGUGGAGCACGAGACUCCCGAUUUCGGGAUUGUGGGUUCAAGCCCCACACUGGGUG